AGCCAGCAUUCUUUGGGUCUACCUGAAGGUCCCACCCCAUGCGUCAAAAAACUUACACAAAAAUAGGAAGCUGGCAAUGGUGGUUCCAACAAUAGUCAGAAUUCCUGAAUAACAGGGUGAAGAAAGGAGCUCCACGCAGAAAUUGAAAAGUUUUAUUAAUAUAUAUCACCUAUAGCCCACACCUCAAUUAAAUCAAAAUGUAUAAUUAAA